UGUCACCCCAGCAUAGCCCCCAUUAUAUCAUUGUAGUCCUUAACCUCCCACUACAGCUCCAGUUCUUAUGCUAUAAGCCCUAUCCGUCCACGAUAGCUACUAUCCUCUCCACUAUAGCCACUAACCCCCCUACCAUAUCAACUACCCCAUCCCCCUACCAUAGCCACUAUCCACCCCACCAUAAUCCCUACCAUCACUGUGGGGCUUUUAUUUACCAGCUAUAGCCAUAAUUCUCCCACUACAGCCCCUAUAUUCCCACUAUAACACUAACCCACACCAAAGCCAUAUUCCCCCAAUACAGCCAUAAAUGCAAUACAAGAUGCAGCGACCCUCAGACAGGCAACCCCACAAGCAGCAUUCCUACAAACAUACAACACGACAAGUAGCCUCCACACAUACCCUCUCCCAGCUCUAUUCCACUUAUCAUCCAACCACCAACCUAGUCACAUUCACACGAAACUAGUUUUGUAAAAGCAUGCAAUCAAAUACUGUAUAUAUAACUACAGAGAGGGGAAAAAAGUAUUCGAUCCCCUGCUGAUUUUUAACGUUUGCCCACUGACAAAGAAUUGAUCAGUCUAUAAUUUUAAUGGUAGAUGUAUUUUAACAGUGAGAGACAGAAUUAAAAAAAAAAUCCAGAAAAACACGUUAAAAAAGUUAUAAAUUAAUUUGCAUGUCAAUGAUUGAAUUAAGUAUUUGAACCCUUCGACUUAGUACUUUGCUGCCUUGGCUGUGUGUUUUGGGUAAUUGUCCUGCUGGAAUACUCAUCCACAACCCAUUUUCAAUGUCCUGGCUGAGGGAACGAGGUUCUCACCCAAGAUUUUGGUGGUACAUGGCCCCAUCCAUCGUCCCUUUGAUGCAGUGCAGUUGUCCUGUCCCCUUAGCAGAAAAACACCCCCAAAGCAUAAUGUUUCCACCUCCAUGUUUGACGGUGGGGGUGGUGUUCUUGGGGUCAAAGGCAGCAUUCCUCCUCCUCCAAACAUGGUGAGUUGAGUUGAUGCUAAAGAGCUCGAUUUUGGUCUUCUCUGACCACAACACUUUCAUCCAGUUCUCCUCUGAAUCAUUCAGAUGUUCAUUGGCAAACUUCAGAUGGGCCUGUAUAUGUGCUUUCUUGAGCAGGGGGACCUUGCGGGCGCUGCGGGAUUUCAGUCCUUUUUUAGUGUGUUACCAAUUGUUUUCUUGGUGACUAUGGUCCCAGCUGCCUUGAGAUCAUUAACAAGAUCCUGCUGUGUAGUUCUGGGCUGAUUCCUCACCGUUCUCAUCAUCAUUGAAACUCGACAAGGUGAGAUCUUGCAUGGAGCACCAGACUGAAGGAGACUGACAGUUAUUUUGUGUUUCGUCCAUUUGCAAAUAAUAGCACCAACUGUUGCCACCUUCUCGCCAAGAUGCUUAGAGAUGGUCUUGAAGCCCAUUCCAGCAAUGUCUAGGUCUACAAUCUUGUCCGUGACAUCCUUGAACAGUUUUUUGGUCUUGGCCAUGGUGGAGAGUUUGUAAUCUGAUUGAUUGCUUCUGUGGACACGUGUCUGCUAUACAGGUAAUAAAAUGAGAUUAGGAGCACUCCCUUUAAGAGAGUGCUCCUAAUCUCAGCUCAUUACCUGUAUAAAAGACACCUGGGAGCCAGAAAUCUUGCUGAUUGAUAACGGGUCAAAUACUUAUUUCACUCAUUGACAUGCAAAGCAAUUUAUAACUUUUUUGACUUGUCUUUUUCUGGAUUUAUUUUUUUGUUAUUCUGUCUCACAUUAUUAAAAUACAGCUACCAUUAAAAUUAUAGACUGACCAUUUCUUUGUCAGUGGGCAAACGGUCACAAUCAGCAGGGCAUCAAAUAUUUUUUUUUCUCCUCACUGUAAAUUGAGGGUGCAUGGGAUACUGGCCUUGGGGUAGCAAGGAGGGUAAAUCUAGCCCGAUUAGAAUAACAUAGAACUAUAAAUUACAAGUAUCUCUCACACAUACCAGUGGGAAUCUGUUAAUUGUACAUGCUUCUAUUUAAUGUGGCGGGAACUGUUAUGAAGUUGCUUAUUAAAUUUUAAAAAACUGUCUUUAAAAAGCCAAAACAUGCAAGAACAUCAGACUGUAUCAGCUAGAAAGCAGAUUGGUUAGGGGCUCACCACAUUUUAUGAACUUCUCGUUCGGGCUGCUUAUUCACAAGAUUGAGUUGCACAAUAGCACAGAGUAAUUUUUAUGUUAAAGAGGUUUCUGGUUUCAGAGCAGACACUCAAUGUUGUAUGUACUUGGUCUAGUGGCAGAAGUUUGUUGUGCCAAAUAUGUCUCCCAGUAUGCUUAUUUUAUGUAAUACUACAGCUCAUUAAGUUUCUAAUUCUUUGUUUUUGAGAUAUAUCAUUGUGUAAUUUUUUUUGGGUGGUAUGUUUUUUAAGCAUGUAAUUUAGAUGUUCUUCCCAAAUGUUCACGCAAGUCUUUAAGUUCUACCAGAGGUUUAAGCAUCAUAUUUGAACCAUUGCAGAAGGCAUGCCACCUCAGAGAACAUUAUAAUAGACCAUGGGUGUAAAAUCAUUUCUCAGAACCUUUGUCAGCCAAAAACACUGGAGUUGGCUGGCUAUCUGGCUUCAAAUGUAUGUCUAACUCUACAAAAUCCAGCAAGUAAUCUGGAAAUAGAGGGCAGUGUCAUGCUGAUACAUGUUAAUCUGCAAACACAAAAGUCAUUUAAUGAAAGUGGAUAAGCGAUAUCAAAGCUCCAGUGUCCUUUUAUUUUUUUUCACAGAAAUCAUGCUAAAUCAUAUUCCCUUACGAUUAAUAUUAAUUUCACCACUUGGCCAUUGGCAUUUUUCCUGGCAUUCUCACUAAUCCACUUAGUUCAGCCCUGUAUCAGAGUAUGCAUAGCUUAGGGGGACAUCUAGGUUAUUUUGCCCUAUGUAAUGCGGGCAUUGGGGGCAGAGGGGUCUGGUAUGUAACGGUUCUUAAACUGUUUGACUACUUACGCUAGGAGUUCUCCAGGGCACUCCUGGCACCAUAACCAUUACAGUGAACUGUAGAGGCUCUGGUGCUUGAAUUUUUUUUUUUUUAUCCUUUCAUCUCACAAAUUUUUGUAUGUCACUAACUGCGUCUUUUUUAUUAAGUAAAUAUAAUCACUGUUAUAUCACUUAUGUUUAAGUAGCUUCAUACAAGUUCCAGUAUUAUUAGGCACAUUUGAGCAUUGUUUGGUGAUUAAAGAAUUGUGCCAUCUCAAAUAAAUGUUGUAAUUUGUUUCUAGUGGCAAUGCUGAUAUUGCAAAAUUCUGAAUGCUGCCUCAUAGCCCUCUGUGUAAGUUCUGUAUUUAACGGAAUACCCGAAGCACCAUAACCACUAGAGUGCUUUAAAUAUUUAUAUCAUAUUGCUACUAAGCCGGCUUUGCAAAGUUACAUUUUGAAAUGUUUGUUCUAUUUGUUAUUUCUUGCUAAUUUGCACCCUGACUGCAUACUCCCCAAUGAUGUUAAGGUGGAAGAACAAGAGGGUAAAGUCUGAAUAAAUUUUUUUUUUUUUUUUAAAGCGUCACCAGCAGUAAUUUUAUAUUUUUAAAUUUAUUUAUUUUGAGCCAUAUGUCCAGGCUCCAUUCAGGGAUAUACCAAGGUAUGCAAAGUGCUUUUGUAUAUGAAAUAUAGCUUCACAUACAUUUAUACUAUGUAUAGGUGCCAUUGAAGCUAGAUUUUUUUAGUUAAAAUAAAAAUAAUUUGUAGCAGACUAACUUAUUUUUUUUUUUUUUUAAGUUACAUUUGUAAAGGCUUUUUUAUUUUCAAGUGUUGAUGAGUGUAUCAUUGCUGAUAUUUGCUAACAAAGGCACUUUAAAAACAGCAUACUUUUUAUAGUUUGUUGAUUUGUGUAAAGUUCUCCUAGAUGGCGAAGAUACUUUGAGAAUCCCUAUUGCUAAGCUGUUAACAUGAUUUGUGUUUUGCUUUAUAUAGGUAUUGCUUUUGGUAUCUAAUAUGAUAAAGUAUUUUUAUAGAUGUAUGCUCCUUAUAAUUCUUUAUGCAUCAUAUAUGCUUUUGAAUAAAUGUUGUUUUCAAUUAUUUA